GCGGUUGUAGUGUAGUGGUUAGCACGCGAGCUUGCCAAGCUCGCAACUCGGGUUCGAAUCCCGGCGACCGCAC
rnacentral:tRNA from 3 species